GAUGAACGCUGGCGGCGUGCCUAAUACAUGCAAGUCGAGCGAACAGACGAGGAGCUUUCUCCUCCGACUUUAUAGCCGGACGGGACAUUAACACGUGGUUAAAAUAACUCUACGACUGGGAUACUUUCGGGAAACCGGAGCUACUACCGGAUAAUAUAUUGAACUGCAUUGUUCCAUAGUUAAAGACGGUUUUGCUGUCACUUAUAGAUGGAUCCGCGCCGCAUUAGUUAGUUGGGAAGGUAACGGCUUAACAAGGCAACGAGGCGAAGCCGACCUGAGAGGGAGGUCGGCCACACUGGAUGUGAGACACGGUCCAGACACCGAGAGGGAGAAGCAGUAGGGAAUCUUCCGGAAGGGGCGAAUGCGUAGCGGUGCAACGCCGCGUAAGUGAUGAAGGACUACUGAUCGGAGAACGCUGUAAGUAGUGAAGAACAAAUGUGUAAGUAACUAUGCUCAUCUUGACGGUACCGAAACAGAAAGCCACGGCUAACUACGUG
rnacentral:rRNA from 1 species